rnacentral:rRNA from 1 species
UGGGAAUUUGGACGAAUGGGCGAAGCCUGAUCCAGCAAUGCCGCGUGUGUGAAGAAGGCCUUCGGGUUGUAAAGCACUUUUGUCCGGAAAGAAAUCCUUGGCUCUAAUACAGUCGGGGGAUGACGGUACCGGAAGAAUAAGCACCGGCUAACUACGUGCCAGCAGCCGCGGUAAUACGUAGGGUGCAAGCGUUAAUCGGAAUUACUGGGCGUAAAGCGUGCGCAGGCGGUUUGCUAAGACCGAUGUGAAAUCCCCGGGCUCAACCUGGGAACUGCAUUGGUGACUGGCAGGCUAGAGUAUGGCAGAGGGGGGUGAGAAUUCCACGUGUAGCAGUGAAAUGCGUAGAGAUGUGGAGGAAUACCGAUGGCGAAGGCAGCCCCUGGCAAGUACUGACGCUCAUGCACG